AGUGGCCUGGAGGGUUUCAAUGUAACUCUUGACUGAUUAUCCUUCAUCGCCAUCAUAUAUUGAUCUCUGCAGUUGUGUGAGACCAAGAUUCAGUGAGAUCCAGAUCCAGCUGCACUAAUUCGUUCUAGAACGGAAAAUGAAGAAUUAUUCCGGGCGGUCUACAAGCUUUGAUAUUCGGCUGUCUAAUCAAUUCACGUGCCUAAACCCUUCCGGUGACGCAAGA